AUUGAACGCUGGCGGCAUGCCUUACACAUGCAAGUCGAACGGCAGCACGGGUGCUUGCACCUGGUGGCGAGUGGCGAACGGGUGAGUAACACAUCGGAACGUACCUUAUCGUGGGGGAUAACGCAGCGAAAGCUGAGCUAAUACCGCAUACGCCCUGAGGGGGAAAGCGGGGGAUCGCAAGACCUCGCGCGAUUAGAGCGGCCGAUGCCUGAUUAGCUUGUUGGUGGGGUAAAAGCCCACCAAGGCGACGAUCAGUAGCUGGUCUGAGAGGACGAUCAGCCACACUGGGACUGAGACACGGCCCAGACUCCUACGGGAGGCAGCAGUGGGGAAUUUUGGACAAUGGGGGCAACCCUGAUCCAGCAAUGCCGCGUGAGUGAAGAAGGCCUUCGGGUUGUAAAGCUCUUUUGUCAGGGAAGAAACACCGGCUCUAACACAGUCUGGGAAUGACGGUACCUGAAGAAUAAGCACCGGCUAACUACGUGCCAGCCGCCGCCGUAA
rnacentral:rRNA from 1 species